rnacentral:rRNA from 1 species
CUACUUUGAAUACAAUGAUUUCUGUGUAAUUUCAGAAGCUAAGGUAAGCAGGGUCAGGCCUGGAUAAUACUUGGUUGGGAAACCACUAGGAAAUACCAAGGU